GAGAUUGUUAAUAGAGUAGGAGAUUAGAGAGAGAAGCCAAGACGAGAGAGACAAAAGCCAAGGUAAGAGAGAAGCCAAGACGAGAGAGACAAAAGCCAAGGUAAGAGAGAAGCCAAGGCGAAAGAGAGAGAUAACUUGCCGAAUUGUCCCACAUCGGAGUUUCAGCAAACUGAAAACUUCUAUAAAAGCUUUACUUUCGCCAUUUUGGCUUUUUGUGAAGCUUGCAGUAGUUUUCAAUCGCAUGGUUGAGGGUAAAGGGGGCCAAUGUGGAACUAUUUAAGUGACAAUGUACUAGGCAGGGUUUAAAAACUAUUGUUUUUAAGACAAAGUCUUGAAGUGCCUAAGAAAAAGUUUUAAAAAUACACUUUAAUUUGAACCGGAACCGCAAAUGAUGACGUCAUAAGAUGGUACGGACAUCUUGUUCCUUACGGAUACAGCCGGAUCCUGUUCGAUUCCGACGAUUCCCGAUCGAAAUCAGCAAUUUUUUAAACAUAUUUUUGUCAUAAUUUCAUCUCAUCUCUCAUUCCCCCAAAAAUAUGGUCUUUCCUCGUGGAUUGAGCAGCCAGAAAUUUGUUAAUGCGAUAAGCCUUACCACGAUGCAGGCUAAUAAACCCUCAUAUCUGGAAAGCCUGCAUCUGCCAUGUAGUAUUUUCCUAUACAAACAGGAUCAAACAGUUAGUGAAUAAGCAUUUUACUACAUUAUAUUGAAAAUGAGUUUUCAAUCGUUAUUACUUUGAGGCAUAGCCACCCUCUCAAUUGCAUUGUAAAAGAUCCUUGAGUUUGCAGCAGAGCCUUCCUAACCACCCAUUAGUACAUACUCAAACACAUGUCAAAGUUCAUCACAGCUAUUACAUUCUAAGAUAGAUCUCCCUUCCUGUUACAAAAUCGUUUUUGUGCAGAUUUCGAAAGCAUGCUAGGAUGUGUGUCCCAACAAUCUGCUCCAACACAAUUCUAUCCAAUACAAACUCAAGUGAUCAAAGACGUUCUUAGCUAGCACAACGAAUUCGAUCACGAGAACUCAAUAUAUAUCUAACAAGUGCAGCCCCAAUUAGAGAAGAAGUCCGCUGUCUAAUCUGUGGAAAAAAUAAAUGUAAAAAAAAUAUAUAAAAAUUAAGGAAGAAGAAGUAAGAAAAAGAAUAACAAAUGUAAAAUUUACCCACAUAAAAAAGUGUCCCACCGUAUAAAGGCAUCAAACGAUUCCUUUAAUAUACAAACCAUGAAACUUUAAACACAUAAUAAAUGUCCUUAUUAAAUACAAAUUAUCAACAUACACAUUCAUCAUAAAAAUGGUCUCCCCACAAACAGCCAUUCAAAUCAUUCCCUAUCAUAAGAUAUUGCAAUCACACGAAAAUGUACCAUUUAUUUAAGACACUUCUCAUAAGAGAAAGUAUGAAAACACAAAGCCGUUCAAAUCACCAUGUCGAGCCACAUUGCUAUCAAACAAUGAUACAUCAAUAAUCACAUGCAAAUUGAAAAGGACUAACCUGUGGGUCCCUUUGUUACUGAAUAAGUGCAUGACUAAUUUAUAUUUAUGACUGCUACAGGACACUGUAUCUGCAUUAUUCUAAACAAGUUAUUUGACAAUGAAUGUUGUUUUAAAGUAUAACUGUUUCUUUUAAUUAUAGACAUUACAUGGAGGUCCUUGACCCCAUUUGAAUACAACUUUAUCCUUUGGUAUUUGUUUGUUUCUACUUUAAAUAUCCAUGCCUCAAUUCUCUUUAACCAUUUAGUUAUACAACUACGCAAAUCUUGUGGCUUCUAUCACAUAUUAUUUAAGUUUCAGCAGUACAAGAUGAGUUAGAUUUAGUAUAUGCUCUAUAUGGUGAUAGUAAUAUGUUCUUUUAUAGCAUUUUGAAGUAUUUCUUUCCAACUGUUCCCUUCUAAUGGUGUCUUAAUAUCUUCACCACUCCAAGUGAAUUUAUCAACACCCACAGUUCCAUGGCUACUUUGGAACCACAACAGAAACACAACACAUGAAAUCUAAGCAGCCAUGAAAACCAAGAUACAUGAAACAAAGAUGAGCUAGAGAACCUAUGUUUAUUGCAAAAUUACACCGCACUUCUUGACUUUUAGAGAAAGAGGCUCAAGGAAGUCAGAGUGUUGAUAGCAAGGGGUUGUAGCUUCUUUUGCAGAUCGACCACCCCCAUAAACCGUCAGAGAAAGGACGAGGAAAGAGAGAGACAGAGAGCCUUAAUAGAAAAUCCCAUAAACCCCAAAGGUAAGUCCUAAUGAGCUUAUUAGAGGAAAUAAUAAGAAUACGAAAAGAGAGAGAGAGAGAGAGGGAGAGAAAGAAUCUCAUAAACCCCAAAGCCAAGUCCUAACUGACAAUAAGAACACACACACAGACCUUUGAUGCUAUAGCUCAAUCCUCAGCCUUGAUAGCCGUAAGGGAUGGAAAAGUGUGGAAAAAGGGAUUUGCGGGAGAGUCAACAUGGCUAGGCUUUGUGGAGAAAGAGGGAAAGAGAGAAGCUAUAGAAAGAAAUCAUUGUGAAGAGGCUGUCAGGAUUUUGCGUGAAAAGAGAGGAAAAAAAAAGGGGUUUAGUGAUAAUAGAAGAGAGAGAAAAAAGGGGUUGCCGAAUUUUCCCUUUUUUUUUUUAUAUAUAUAUAGCAGUCCUCAGGCCACCCCUAGGUGGGCUGCACAUUUCUCCAAGUGGGGAAAAAUGAAAAAACGUGGAGAUUGUGUUUCUCCAUUUUUCUCUAUCAAUCCUCCACACUAUGUAAAGCCCAGUUUUAGAGAAAAUAUGAGACAUUCUAUUGUUUUUUUAGUUACCAAACAGAGCCUUAUGAUGUCAAUAAUGCCAUUUAGUAUUACUUUUUUACGAAAAUUCAUCCCAUAAAAAACACGCAAUAAACCAAGUUAACCCAAAUAAGAUAUAAAGCCUUGUGCUCAUAAAAAUCCAUGACAGAAAUAAGAACCCCCUAAUAUUAGGAUCUUACUAAGGAUUAUUUACUUAGCUAGUUAAAAGUAAAAUAGGGAAGAACAAAUCAUAAUAUAAGUAAAUACACUUACACUAUGGGCUGUUUGAUAACAGGAAGUUAGAAAACGAAAAAGGAACUUUACCUAUUACUAUUCGUGUUAUGUGUUCGAUAAAAAGCGGAAGAUAAUUUGAGAACUCCUCUUUACUGUUGAAGUUCCCACCUUUUAGGCUUGAGUAAAGUUUUA
rnacentral:lncRNA from 1 species